UCGUUAAUACCGCAUAACAUAAUUGAACCGCAUGAUUUGAUUAUCAAAGAUUUAUCGCUGAAAGAUGAGCUCGCGUCUGAUUAGCUAGUUGGUAAGGUAACGGCUUACCAAGGCGACGAUCAGUAGCCGGACUGAGAGGUUGAUCGGCCACAUUGGGACUGAGACACGGCCCAGACUCCUACGGGAGGCAGCAGUGGGGAAUAUUGCACAAUGGAGGAAACUCUGAUGCAGCGAUGCCGCGUGAGGGAAGAAGGUUUUAGGAUUGUAAACCUCUGUCUUCAGGGACGAAAAAAUGACGGUACCUGAGGAGGAAGCUCCGGCUAACUACGUGCCAGCAGCCGCGGUAAUACGUAGGGAGCGAGCGUUGUCCGGAAUUACUGGGUGUAAAGGGAGCGUAGGCGGGAUCGCAAGUCAGAUGUGAAAACUAUGGGCUUAACCCAUAAACUGCAUUUGAAACUGUGGUUCUUGAGUGAAGUAGA
rnacentral:rRNA from 1 species